rnacentral:piRNA from 1 species
UCGGUGUAUGGUAUGACGGAGUU